GGCCCAGACUCCUACGGGAGGCAGCAGUGAGGAAUAUUGGUCAAUGGCCGGAAGGCUGAACCAGCCAAGCCGCGUGAAGGACGAAGGUGCCAAGCAUUGUAAACUUCUUUUGUCAAGGGACAAAAUCAGGCUCGAGAGCCUGACCGAGGGUACUUGAAGAAAAAGCAUCGGCUAACUCCGUGCCAGCAGCCGCGGUAAUACGGAGGAUGCGAGCGUUAUCCGGAUUUAUUGGGUUUAAAGGGAGCGUAGAUGGGUUGUUAAGUCAGUUGUGAAAGUUUGCGGCUCAACCGUAAAAUUGCAAUUGAUACUGGCAGUCUUGAGUACAGUUGAGGUAGGCGGAAUUCGUGGUGUAGCGGUGAAAUGCAUAGAUAUCACGCAGAACUCCGAUUGCGAAGGCAUCUGACGAAUCGGAGAUUGACGCUGAUGCACGAAAGCGUGGGUAUCGAACAGGAUUAGAUACCCGCGUACG
rnacentral:rRNA from 1 species